rnacentral:rRNA from 1 species
CUUGACCUACGGGGGGCAGCAGUAGGGAAUCUUCCACAAUGGGCGAAAGCCUGAUGGAGCAACGCCGCGUGGGUGAAGAAGGUCUUCGGAUCGUAAAACCCUGUUGUUAGAGAAGAAAGUGCGUGAGAGUAACUGUUCACAUUUCGACGGUAUCUAACCAGAAAGCCACGGCUAACUACGUGCCAGCAGCCGCGGUAAUACGUAGGUGGCAAGCGUUAUCCGGAUUUAUUGGGCGUAAAGGGAACGCAGGCGGUCUUUUAAGUCUGAUGUGAAAGCCUUCGGCUUAGCCGGAGUAGUGCAUUGGG